UACGUAGGGGGCUAGCGUUGUCCGGAAUCAUUGGGCGUAAAGAGCGCGUAGGCGGCCAGAUAGGUCCGGUGUGAAAGUCAAAGGCUCAACCUUUGAAUGCCGCUGGAAACUGUCUGGCUAGAGUCCGGGAGGGGCGAGUGGAAUUCCUGGUGUAGCGGUGAAAUGCGCAGAUAUCAGGUGGAACACCAGUGGCGAAGGCGGCUUUCUGGACGGUAACUGACGCUGAGACGCGAAAGCGUGGGGAGCGAACAGG
rnacentral:rRNA from 1 species